GAAGAGCUAUUCACCCGUGUAGAGCUCGGUGGUUGUUUCCCGAAGUACAUCCUCACUGCGGGUGUAGAGUUGGCUGUAUUGCCUUUGGAGCCCAGGACAAGUGGUUCCACCUCAGGGGAAUGCCUCUCUCCCCUCUUGAGCAAGAACGUGAAACAACAAUUAUCAGGAUGACACUGGCAGCUAUGAUGCGUCAUCUCUAAUAGAGCCCACAUCUGAACCAUCAACACCCAUCACUGACACCCUGGCCAGUCCGUGAUCAUUUCUGACCUCCAUGACUGCACAGCCUCCUGCCCUGCCUCUCCACUGCCAGCUGCUGGGACCCCCUGCCUCGCACACUGCCCUCCACAGAGGAUCUAAGGAGUUGACAAUUCAGCUGAGUCUUGAGGAACAAGAAGCCUUUGCAAGAUCACUACCAUCGCUACACAAAUAUUGAACCGAUAUCUCUAACCUUAACAGGUUUAAACUGAAUCUCAUCCCCUUCCUUUUCUCAGUGAUGGCAACUCCACCUACCAAUGGUUUAUGUCAAAAUCUUCAGAAUGACUCUUCACUCCCAUCAUUCUGUGUGUCCUUCUUCAUGUCAUCAUGUUGGCUCUACCUUCAGAAUCCAGCAGGAAUCCAGCCACAUCCCACCAGACUCAAUGCCAUCACCCUGGUCUAGGGCCUCAUUUUCUGUCAUCAAGAUUAAGUCAGUCUCCCUGAUUCUAUCUUUGACUAUGUACAAUCUAUUCCCAAUACAUCAACUAGAAUGAUGGUUUUAUACUCAAAAAUUAUAAUUGACUCCCCACGCCACUUAA